rnacentral:rRNA from 1 species
AUGCCUCUCUCGGCGGUAUCCGUCCUCCGCGCCGCCUCCCUCGCCGUCCUGCUGCUCGCGGCCAUGGCCACGGGCGGCGACGGCAGCACGACGGGUGACUCGUCCGUGGCCCAGUCCAUCGACGACACGGAGAUGUACCUCUGCUACCUCUGCACCGGGCGCAACCCGAUGCUGAUCAGGUACUGCCCCAUCUACUGGGACUGGUGCCACCUCCUGUGCUACGACCCCGACGUCGCCGCCGGGCGCGCUGCGUCCGUGCGGCCGGCGGCAGCGGCAGCCACGGCCCCGCGCGAGACGUACGCCCAGCUGGGGUGCUACGUCAUGAAGCUGUACCGGAACGGCACCUACACCAUCGUCAGCCGCCACGACUGCUCAAAAAUGGCCAGUUGCCGCCUCUCCUGCGGCGGCGGCGACGUCGUAGUCGCCGACGGGAAACCCUUGGGCGCGGCGCCGCUGCCGGUUACAGCGUCGGCGCCCCAGGGAAUGCAGCUGCCGCCGUCGUCGCACGUCGCCGAGUUCCAGCGGUGCGGCGAUCAGGCAAUGGGCCUGCCUCUGAGCGCCGUCCCCGGACGCGUCUAG